GCAAGUCUGGUGCCAGCAGCCGCGGUAAUUCCAGCUCCAAUAGCGUAUAUUAAAGUUGUUGCAGUUAAAAAGCUCGUAGUUGAACUUUGGGUCUGUUUGGCCGGUCCGAUUUUUUCGUGUACUGGAAUCCCAAGCGGACCUUUCCUUCUGGCUAACCUUGGGUCCUUGUGGCUCUUGGCGAACCAGGAUUUUUACUUUGAAAAAAUUAGAGUGUUCAAAGCAGGCGUAUUGCUCGAAUAUAUUAGCAUGGAAUAAUAGAAUAGGACGUUUGGUUCUAUUUUGUUGGUUUCUAGGACCAUCGUAAUGAUUAAUAGGGACGGUCGGGGGCAUCAGUAUUCAAUUGUCAGAGGUGAAAUUCUUGGAUUUAUUGAAGACUAACUACUGCGAAAGCAUUUGCCAA
rnacentral:rRNA from 1 species